GUCCCACCCUCGUGUUUCCCUUCGGACAAUGGGGUCUGCGCUGGUCGGCAGGUACUUCUCGCGGUCGGCCCGGGCCCCUGCGGCGGAGCCGGUCGCGCGGUCAUGGCGCAGCAGCCCUUCCUGGUGCAGGUCUCUGGUCCCCCGGGCGCGUCCGCAGGCGGCCACGAGGGGGUCUUAAGUCCCCCCGAUGUCCUGUUCUCGAGUGAAGCAUGAGACCUGGAGGCUCACCAGUCGGGCAGUGCCCUUUCCCAGAGGUGCCGUGCUGAGCGCCCGAGAGCCUAAGGUUUAAAAUCUACCCAUUCUGAGAUGUGCUGUUGGCGUGGCUCCGAUGCUAGGCGAUGAGAGCUGUGACAGGUGGAGAGCAAGCCGUUUCUCCUAGGAGACUGGAUUUUGCUGACGAAAUGGAUGUUCUCUGGUGUUGGGCAAAAGCUAGGAACUUCUCUCCUGUUAUCCUGUGUGAGCAGUUGUCAGCUACCAAAUUGGCUAGAAAUUUUGGGAUAACUAUGUGUCUGAUAGUUUUCACUUAAAUUUACUUUAUGUGUAAGAACAUGGUUUGUCAAAAGGGAUUAAAUAAAGUUUUUUAAUACUA